CCUACGGGGGGCAGCAGUGGGGAAUCUUGCACAAUGGGGGAAACCCUGAUGCAGCGACGCCGCGUGAGUGAAGCAGUAUUUCGGUACGUAAAGCUCUAUCAGCAGGGAAGAAAAUGACGGUACCUGACUAAGAAGCCCCGGCUAACUACGUGCCAGCAGCCGCGGUAAUACGUAGGGGGCAAGCGUUAUCCGGAUUUACGUGGUGUAAAGGGAGCGUAGACGGCAGCGCAAGUCUGGAGUGAAAUCCCAUGGCUUAACCAUGGAACUGCUUUGGAAACUGUGCAGCUAGAGUGCAGGAGAGGUAAGCGGGAUGCCUAGUGUAGCGGUGAAAUGCGUAGAUAUUAGGAGGAACACCAGUGGCGAAGGCGGCUUACUGGACUGUAACUGACGUUGAGGCUCGAAAGCGUGGGGAGCAAACAGGAUUAGAUACCCGUGUAGUC
rnacentral:rRNA from 1 species